rnacentral:pre_miRNA from 1 species
GUGUGUGGAUGGUGUUCAGCACCAGGGACAGGCAUGUUUGUGUGUGUGGAUGGUGUUCAGCACCAAGGACAGGUAUGUUCACCU